GUCUCCCGGGAGUUGUAGUUCCGCCCAGUCCAGGGGCAUCUCGGCUGUGCCCGGAGGUCUCCCACAGCAAUCUGCGCACUUCCGGACCUUUGGCGGGGUUCGCGUGGCCGGCACCUGGGACUUAGCCAGUCCUGAGGCUCCCGCUGCAUCUGGGACUGACGAUUCCCUCUGCCCCCGCGGUAGAGAGGGCACGUGUGGCAGAGCCACGGCUGCAGAGCUGGCGGGCCCUGGGAGGGGUUCUCUGCUAGGGGGGUCCGGUGGGCGGCUCUGUCUGACGUCUACUGGGGAGGGUCAGGGUUCCUGUCUGGUUUGGGGCGGGAGCUGUGGGCAGGCUGGUCUCAUUGCUUUGCUUUAUAGCCCAGAGUCGUCGGAGCCCACCGUCCGUCCACAGAGGGCUUAGCGCGGUGGACCCGUGACAGCCUUGGCCCCGGUCCCUGAACUCCGCCUGGGUGGCCGGGCCUCCCGUGGGUGAGGAGGGACUGCUGAGGAAGCCCCCCCCCCCCCCCUUCUGUCCGACCCUUUGUCACUCCUUCGGACCCCACAUCACAGCCAACGGUUCUGUUCAUGGCGAUGUGGAGUUGUCUGUUUCCCCUCGUGGCGUGUGUGUUCCGUGUGUUUGAGCUGCACGCUCAUCACGCUCGUGUGUUGGUGUUCUUAGUGUCUAUUGCAAAGGCUUAGAGACAGGCCGUGACCAGGCAGUUCAGUCCUGCUGUGGAUUCCAGCUCCUUCUAACCCCCAGACGGCCUCCAGGCGGGAGCUGAGCCUCCGGCCACGGUAAGUUCUCAGCAGGAGAGCAGAGCUUUGCCAGUUGGAGUUGACCCCAGUCCUCAAGCCCCAGGCACCCCACCGAUAGAAUAAUUCUUGGAAAGAAGGUGACCCGACAGCAGCAAUCUACUUUGGAAGCAGGGCUCCCUCUCUGAGCUCCCUCUCGUAGCUUAGGGAUAAAGUUGGAGGUCACAGAAUGGGGUGGCUUCCAGAAAGUGUCCCUAAAACAGCUGAGGACGAGCUUGCUGACCGUGAAUUUGGGUGAUGCCAUCGCAUUAGGG